rnacentral:rRNA from 1 species
AUUGAACGCUGGCGGCAGGCUUAACACAUGCAAGUCGAGCGAGCGGCGGACGGGGGAGUAAAGUCUGGGAAACUGCCUGAUGGAGGGGGAUAACUACAGGAACAGGUAACUAAUCCCGCAUACCAUCAGAUGUGCCCAGGUGGGAUUAGCGAGUAGGUGGGGUAACGGCUCACCGAGGCUACAAUCCCUAGCUGGUCUGAGAGGAUGACCAGCAACACUGGAACUGAGACACGGUGCAGACUCCUACGGGAGGCAGCAGUGGGGAGUAUGGCACAAUGGGCGCAAGCCUGAUGCAGCCAUGCCGCGUGUGGGACGAAGGCCUUCGGGUUGUAAAGCACUUUCAGCGGGGAGGCGUUACCCGCAGAAGAAGCACCGGCUAACUCCGUGCCAGCAGCGGCGGUAAUAC